rnacentral:rRNA from 1 species
GACGGAGGAUGCAAGCGUUAUCCGGAAUGAUUGGGCGUAAAGCGUCCGCAGGUGGCAGUUCAAGUCUGCUGUCAAAGACCGGGGCUUAACUUCGGAAAGGCAGUGGAAACUGAACAGCUAGAGUAUGGUAGGGGCAGAGGGAAUUCCCGGUGUAGCGGUGAAAUGCGUAGAGAUCGGGAAGAACACCAACGGCGAAAGCACUCUGCUGGGCCGAAACUGACACUGAGAGACGAAAGCUAGGGGAGCAAAUGGG